rnacentral:ncRNA from 2 species
AAAGGUCUUCGGGGCAGAGUGAAAUUCUCGACCGGCGGUAAAGUCCGCGAGCUAAUUUAGCAGAACUGGUGUAAUUCCAGUACCGACAGUAUAGUCUGGAUGGUAGAAGAUUGGA